rnacentral:rRNA from 1 species
UACAGAGGUCCCGAGCGUUGUUCGGAUUCACUGGGCGUAAAGGGUGCGCAGGUGGGUUGGCAAGUUUGAUGUGAAAUCUCCGGGCUUAACCCGGAAAUGGCAUUGAAUACUAUUGAGCUGGAGGUUUGGAGGGGGGACUGGAAUUCUCGGUGUAGCAGUGAAAUGCGUAGAUAUCGAGAGGAACACCAGUGGCGAAGGCGAGUCCCUGGACAACACCUGACACUGAGGCACGAAAGCUAGGGGAGCAAACAGG